GCCAUAUCAAUAAGCGGAGGAAAAGAAACCAACAGGGAUUACCUUAGUAACGGCGAGUGAAGCGGUAAUAGCUCAAAUUUGAAAUCUGACUCUUUUCGAGUCCGAGUUGUAAUUUGUAGAGGAUGUUUCGGGUACAAUUUUGGUUUAAAUUUCUUGGAACAGAAUGUCAUAGAGGGUGAGAAUCCCGUCUAUAACCAUCUAUUGUGCCCAUGUGAAACUCCUUCGACGAGUCGAGUUGUUUGGGAAUAA
rnacentral:rRNA from 1 species